CUUUUGAUAAUAAUCUAAGGUCUAACCUGCCCAAUGAAAAUUUUAAUGGCCGCGGUAUUUUGACCGUGCAAAGGUAGCAUAAUCAUUUGUUUUUUAAUUGAAAGCUGGAAUGAAAGGUUGAAUGAGAAAAUAACUGUCUCUAUUUAAUUUUAUUAGAAUUUUAUUUUUAAGUUAAAAAGCUUAAAUUUAUUUUGAAGACGAGAAGACCCUAUAGAGUUUGAUAAAUAAUUUAUUUGGAUAUUUUAGAAUUAAUUUUUUUAAAUUUAGAAUUUAUUUGAUUGGGGUGAUUAAAAAAUUAAAUUAACUUUUUUUGUAUUAGAUCAUUAAUUAAUGAAUAAUUGAUCCUUUAAAAGAUUAAAAAACUAAAUUACCUUAGGGAUAACAGCGUAAUUUUUUUUUAGAGUUCGAAUUGAAAAAAAAGAUUGCGACCUCGAUGUUGGAUUAAAAUUAAUUUUUGGUGUAGAAGCUAAA
rnacentral:rRNA from 1 species